rnacentral:rRNA from 1 species
ACGAACGCUGGCGGCGUGCCUAAUACAUGCAAGUCGAACGCUUCUUUUUCCACCGGAGCUUGCUCCACCGGAAAAAGAGGAGUGGCGAACGGGUGAGUAACACGUGGGUAACCUGCCCAUCAGAAGGGGAUAACACUUGGAAACAGGUGCUAAUACCGUAUAACAAUCGAAACCGCAUGGUUUUGAUUUGAAAGGCGCUUUCGGGUGUCGCUGAUGGAUGGACCCGCGGUGCAUUAGCUAGUUGGUGAGGUAACGGCUCACCAAGGCGACGAUGCAUAGCCGACCUGAGAGGGUGAUCGGCCACAUUGGGACUGAGACACGGCCCAAACUCCUACGGGAGGCAGCAGUAGGGAAUCUUCGGCAAUGGACGAAAGUCUGACCGAGCAACGCCGCGUGAGUGAAGAAGGUUUUCGGAUCGUAAAACUCUGUUGUUAGAGAAGAACAAGGAUGAGAGUAACUGUUCAUCCCUUGACGGUAUCUAACCAGAAAGCCACGGCUAACUACGUGCCAGCAGCCGCGGUAAUACGUAGGUGGCAAGCGUUGUCCGGAUUUAUUGGGCGUAAAGCGAGCGCAGGCGGUUUCUUAAGUCUGAUGUGAAAGCCCCCGGCUCAACCGGGGAGGGUCAUUGGAAACUGGGAGACUUGAGUGCAGAAGAGGAGAGUGGAAUUCCAUGUGUAGCGGUGAAAUGCGUAGAUAUAUGGAGGAACACCAGUGGCGAAGGCGGCUCUCUGGUCUGUAACUGACGCUGAGGCUCGAAAGCGUGGGGAGCAAACAGGAUUAGAUACCCUGGUAGUCCACGCCGUAAACGAUGAGUGCUAAGUGUUGGAGGGUUUCCGCCCUUCAGUGCUGCAGCUAACGCAUUAAGCACUCCGCCUGGGGAGUACGACCGCAAGGUUGAAACUCAAAGGAAUUGACGGGGGCCCGCACAAGCGGUGGAGCAUGUGGUUUAAUUCGAAGCAACGCGAAGAACCUUACCAAGUCUUGACAUCCCUCUGACCGGAACUUAACCGUUCCUUUCCUUCGGGACAGAGGAGACAGGUGGUGCAUGGUUGUCGUCAGCUCGUGUCGUGAGAUGUUGGGUUAAGUCCCGCAACGAGCGCAACCCUUAUUGUUAGUUGCCAUCAUUUAGUUGGGCACUCUAGCAAGACUGCCGGUGACAAACCGGAGGAAGGUGGGGAUGACGUCAAAUCAUCAUGCCCCUUAUGACCUGGGCUACACACGUGCUACAAUGGGAAGUACAACGAGUCGCAAAGUCGCGAGGCUAAGCUAAUCUCUUAAAGCUUCUCUCAGUUCGGAUUGUAGGCUGCAACUCGCCUACAUGAAGCCGGAAUCGCUAGUAAUCGCGGAUCAGCACGCCGCGGUGAAUACGUUCCCGGGCCUUGUACACACCGCCCGUCACACCACGAGAGUUUGUAACACCCGAAGUCGGUGAGGUAACCUUUUGGAGCCAGCCGCCUAAGGUGGGAUAGAUGAUUGGGGUG